rnacentral:misc_RNA from 1 species
UACCCUCAAGCUUUGCUUGGUGUUGGGCGUCUUGUCUCUAGCUUUGCUGGAGACUCGCCUUAAAGUAAUUGGCAGCCGGCCUACUGGUUUCGGAGCGCAGCACAAGUCGCACUCUCUAUCAGCAAAGGUCUAGCAUCCAUUAAGCCUUUUUUUCAACU